UACGGAGGGUGCAAGCGUUGUCCGGAUUUAUUGGGUUUAAAGGGUAGCGUAGGUGGUUUUCUAAGUCUGGUUUGAAAGCAAGCGGCUUAACCGUUUGAUGUGGCUGGAAACUGGAGGACUUGAAUGGGUUGGCGGUAGCCGGAAUGGGUCAUGUAGCGGUGAAAUGCAUAGAUAUGACCCGGAACACCGAUUGCGAAGGCAGGCUACUACGACUUGAUUGACACUGAGGCACGAGAGCAUGGGUAGCGAACAGG
rnacentral:rRNA from 1 species